rnacentral:tRNA from 1 species
UCCCAAGUGGUCUAGUGGCUAAGAUACCUGGCUUUCACCCAGAAUGCCCGGGUUUGAUUCCUGACGUGGGAA